rnacentral:lncRNA from 1 species
UUACACAACGUUCUCUCAAAGCCUGUCCUACCAGAUUUCUUUGGCAACAAACCAGACCAAAUUCUUGGCAAUGCUUUAACAAAAAAAUUGUUGCAGCCGCCUCCCAUACUGGUGAUGACCAUAUGCAGCCAAUGUUGAUGUGAACCUGAGUGAUGAACAAAUGCAGACCUGCAAAGGAGCUGUUCUGAGGCACCAUGCUUACUCAAGUCAUGCAGCGAGAGUCAGCAUGCCUGGAAAAGUACUUCAAAGCACACCCCAUCUGGCUGACUGCACUACCUCAAGAAAAAUGCCUUUCUCCCAUCUGCAAGUUUCUAAGAAGUUACUUUAUGAAGCAAGCCAGCAGGGGGUACG